AGUGAACGCUGGCGGUAGGCCUAACACAUGCAAGUCGAACGGCAGCACAGUAAGAGCUUGCUCUUACGGGUGGCGAGUGGCGGACGGGUGAGGAAUACAUCGGAAUCUACUUUUUCGUGGGGGAUAACGUAGGGAAACUUACGCUAAUACCGCAUACGACCUACGGGGGAAAGCAGGGGAUCUUCGGACCUUGCGCGAUUGAAUGAGCCGAGGUCGGAUUAGCUAGUUGGCGGGGUAAAGGCCCACCAAGGCGACGAUCCGUAGCUGGUCUGAGAGGAUGAUCAGCCACACUGGAGCUGAGACACGGUCCAGACUCCUACGGGAGGCAGCAGUGGGGAAUAUUGGACAAUGGGCGCAAGCCUGAUCCAGCCAUACCGCGUGGGUGAAGAAGGCCUUCGGGUUGUAAAGCCCUUUUGUUGGGAAAGAAAAGCAGCAGGUUAAUACCCCGCUGUUCUGACGGUACCCAAAGAAUAAGCACCGGCUAACUUCGUG
rnacentral:rRNA from 1 species